rnacentral:tRNA from 1 species
GCGCCCGUAGCUCAGCUGGAUAGAGUGUCGGCCUCCGAAGCCGAAUGUCGUGCGUUCAAAUCGCAUCGGGCGCACCA